CUACAAACAGUUUAGUCUUCACUCUUUUGUAGCACUCCUCAUUUGAAUGGUGCGUGGCAAUGGACUGGUGAACAUUUUCAUUUACUGAAAUGGCUGUGGAAGAUUCAGAACCUCAAGUCAAGUCAAGUUGGGGAGUAUGCACUG